AGAAACUUCCUUUGAAAGAUCAAAAUUGGUGCCAAAGUAAAGAUGAUUUUCCUUAGUGAAAGAGACUUGCACUGCAAUUACUCUAGGACUAGUAAGUUUGGAGCAAAUUAAAUUACGCACGCCUGAUAUGAUUGUCAAAUUUGAUUAAUCAUCUAUCUGCAAUGUAGUGUCUAGUAUACUCCCUAUCCAGCAGGAUGACAUCAAAGGAAAAAGAUCCAAAUCUAACCCCAUCAGAGGCAAGAUUAAGAUUUUGAGUUUAUAAAUUCGAGAUUUUAGAAUACUCACCUUAUUGGGUUCUUGAUAAACUAUCUAUAUAUAUUAUAUGAGCUUUUGAAUACAAAUACAAAGUUUGAGGAAAAACUUCUGUUGAGCCUGUAAACGAAGCUCUAGCUCCCCUCCUGACCCACCACUAUGUAUAAUACAAAAUAUCAAUAUUUUAGUAUCAAGUAAGGCGCAGGAGGGUAUUUGAUUAAAUACCCAAAUUUGAAUAAGGAAAACUCUAUUUUUUUCAUCCAAAAGAUGAAUAUUGUGCGACGUAAUGGCAGUCACAGUAAAUAUAUAUUCAUAGGAAAAUUCCUACAAUAUUUAGUCCCUGUGUAAUGUUGAGCAAACAAAU
rnacentral:lncRNA from 1 species